AAGUCGUAACAAGGUUUCCGUAGGUGAACCUGCGGAAGGAUCAUUAUUGAAUUCACUUGCUGAAGCUGAAGCUGGCUCGUCAAGAGCAUGUGCACGCUGACGCAUAUAUUCAACCACCUGUGAACUUACUGUAGAUCUGAGAAUACUUCUCAAGGAAACUUGGGAGCUUGUUGGCUUCUUCCAGAGGUCGACUGCUCUUGCUUCUCAGGUCUAUGUUUUUCAUAUACCCUAAACACGUUAUAGAAUGUGACAUGGCUGUCAUCAGCCUUAAAUUUAAUACAACUUUCAACAACGGAUCUCUUGGCUCUC
rnacentral:misc_RNA from 1 species